GUGCCAGCAGCCGCGGUAAUACCAGCUCUCCGAGUGGUAGGGAUGAUUAUUGGGCUUAAAGCGUGCGUAGCCGGCUUGACAAGUCUUCUGUUAAAUCCAGCAACCCAAUUGUUGGACUGCGGGAGAUACUGUCUAGCUAGAGAACGGGAGAAGCCGACGGUACUCUCAGGGUAGGAGUGAAAUCCUAUAAUCCUGGGAGGACCACCAGUGGCGUAGGCUGUCGGCUAGAACGUGUCUGACGGUGAGGAACGAAAGCUUGGGGAGCGAACCGGAUUAGAUACCCGGGUAGUCCAAGCUGUAAACGAUGCGGGCUAGGUGUUGGGGUGGCUACGUGCCACUUCAGUGCCGCAGGGAAACCGUUAAGCCCGCCGCCUGGGGAGUACGGUCGCAAGGCUGAAACUCAAAGGAAUUGGCGGGG
rnacentral:rRNA from 1 species